rnacentral:piRNA from 1 species
UGGAAGUUUGAUAGAAUACUGUCUUUGGGA